GCCGUAAUGGUGUAGCGGUAACAUUAUUGCCUUCCAGGCCUCCCACAAUGGGUUGCUUAGCGAGCAAUAGCCCGGCGUUCGACUCGCCGUUGCGGCA